rnacentral:tRNA from 1 species
GCCGGAGUAGCCGAAUCGGUACAGGCGAUGGUCUCAAACACCAUUGGGGGUGACCCCGUGCGGGUUCGAAUCCCGCCUCCGGCACCA